GGGGAAUAUUGGACAAUGGGCGAAAGCCUGAUCCAGCAAUGCCGCGUGAGUGAUGAAGGCCUUCGGGUUGUAAAGCUCUGUCGGGAGGGACGAAAAAGCGGACUAACAAACCGCAUUGACGGUACCUCCAAAGGAAGCACCGGCUAACUCUGUGCCAGCAGCCGCGGUAAUACAGAGGGUGCAAGCGUUGUUCGGAAUUACUGGGCGUAAAGCGCGUGUAGGCGGCGAUGUAAGUCGGAUGUGAAAUCCCUCGGCUCAACCGAGGAAGUGCAUCCGAUACUGCGUUGCUUGAGUGUCGGAGGGGAUGGCGGAAUUCCCGGUGUAGAGGUGAAAUUCGUAGAUAUCGGGAGGAACACCUGUGGCGAAGGCGGCCAUCUGGACGACAACUGACGCUGAGACGCGAAAGCGUGGGUAGCAAAC
rnacentral:rRNA from 1 species